AUCUUAAAGGCAAUGCAUUCUUUUAGUGCUGAAUCAGAAAAGGAGUUGAGCUUUUCAAAGGUUUGAUUUCAUUGUUGUGCAAAAAGGAACUUGAUGUAUCAAAGCAAGU